UACGUAGGGUGCAAGCGUUGUCCGGAAUUAUUGGGCGUAAAGAGCUCGUAGGCGGUUUGUUGCGUCGGCUGUGAAAUCCCGAGGCUCAACCUCGGGUCUGCAGUCGAUACGAGCAAACUAGAGUGUUGCAGGGGAGACUGGAAUUCCUGGUGUAGCGGUGAAAUGCGCAGGUAUCAGGAGGAACACCGGUGGCGAAGGCGGGUCUCUGGGCAACAACUGACGCUGAGGAGCGAAAGCGUGGGGAGCGAACAGG
rnacentral:rRNA from 1 species